AUGGAAAGUAUUACAGCUAUGGCUGGUGAGAGUGUCAGUGCCAGAGGCCAGGUCUUUGCCAGGUGGAGAGGACACCCUUAUGCCCUACCCCCAAGUUCCAGCACCUCUCCAAGAGCCCUUGGCCCCGGAAGCAGCAACAAAGUGACACUGGACUGGGGAGGAGGAAGCACAACUUUAUUUUCUGGCCCGAAGUAUUCCUCGGGGGUCCCUGGGCCAGAAAGACAUCAGCUCGGAGUUCCUCCAGCAACUCAAAGAAGAGAGAAAGCUGGUCCCCAAACUCUCCCGCUAUAG
rnacentral:lncRNA from 10 species